rnacentral:rRNA from 2 species
GGGACACAUGGACGAAGUCUGAUGGAGCAUGCCGCGUGAGUGAAGAAGGGUUUCGGCUCGUAAAACUCUGUUGUUAAAGAAGAACACCUUUGAGAGUAACUGUUCAAGGGUUGACGGUAUUUAACCAGAAAGCCACGGCUAACUACGUGCCAGCAGCCGCGGUAAUACGUAGGUGGCAAGCGUUGUCCGGAUUUAUUGGGCGUAAAGCGAGCGCAGGCGGUUUUUUAAGUCUGAUGUGAAAGCCUUCGGCUUAACCGGAGAAGUGCAUCGGAAACUGGGAGACUUGAGUGCAGAAGAGGACAGUGGAACUCCAUGUGUAGCGGUGGAAUGCGUAGAUAUAUGGAAGAACACCAGUGGCGAAGGCGGCUGUCUAGUCUGUAACUGACGCUGAGGCUCGAAAGCAUGGGUAGCGAACAGGAUUAGAUACCCCGGGUAGUCCCA